AAUUGUGAGAAGAGUUGGCUAAAUUUGGGUUCGCCUCUGUAAUAUUAUCAGGAUGGUUGUUUUGUUGAUCAUGGCUUUGGUGGAAUGGAAUAAACAGAUUUGGCUAUCUAGCUUUGGAGGAUUUGCUAGAGAAACACCUCCUAAU